GUCCAGCAUGCUUGAGCAGAUACUUGUUACAGAUGGUUUGACAGAGCAAGGUUGUUCCGGAUAGAAGAUAGGACAUACUUCUGAAGAAGAUUGUUUUUGAAACUGGCAAAGAUAUCCUAGGAUGCCUGUUAAGGGAUUCACAGAUUUCAUAACUGUGAAGAAUGAAGAUUUGUUUUUGCCAUCUCUGGCUUUGAAGUAUUUUUAAUGUUAUAUACUUCAGCUGAGAAGAUUGGACUUUGAACACUUACAUUUGCCCAUUGUUCCUUCUUUACCAUCAUUGUAUAUGCUGGUUCCAUGUAUGGUUUGGGAUUUGUUAUAUAAACUGCAUAUUUACAUAUA